rnacentral:rRNA from 1 species
UACGUAGGUGGCAAGCGUUGUCCGGAAUUAUUGGGCGUAAAGCGCGCGCAGGCGGUCCUUUAAGUCUGAUGUGAAAGCCCACGGCUCAACCGUGGAGGGUCAUUGGAAACUGGGGGACUUGAGUGCAGAAGAGGAGAGUGGGAUUCCACGUGUAGCGGUGAAAUGCGUAGAGAUGUGGAGGAACACCAGUGGCGAAGGCGACUCUCUGGUCUGUAACUGACGCUGAGGCGCGAAAGCGUGGGGAGCAAACAGG